rnacentral:tRNA from 1 species
AAUAAGAAGCAAUAUUUUAUGCAUUUAGUUUCGACCUAAAAGAAUGAUUUUAAUUAAUCCUUAUUU